UGGGGAAUAUUGCACAAUGGGCGCAAGCCUGAUGCAGCAACGCCGCGUGAACGAUGAAGGUCUUCGGAUCGUAAAGUUCUGUUGCAGGGGAAGACAAUGACGGUACUCUGUGAGGAAGCCCCGGCUAACUACGUGCCAGCAGCCGCGGUAAUACGUAGGGGGCUAGCGUUAUCCGGAUUUACUGGGCGUAAAUGGUGCGUAGGUGGUCCUUCAAGUCGGUGGUUAAAGGCUACGGCUCAACCGUAGUAAGCCGCCGAAACUGGAGGACAUGAGUGCAGGAGAGGAAAGUGGAGUUCCCUGUGUAGCGGUGAAAGGCGUAAAUAUAGGAAGAAACACCAGUAGCGAAGGCGGAUUUCUGGACUGAAACUGACACUGAGGAACGAAAGCGUGGGUAGCAAACAGG
rnacentral:rRNA from 1 species